UCCGUAGGUGAACCUGCGGAGGGAUCAUUACAAGUGUCCCCGGUCUAACCACCGGGAUGUUCAUAACCCUUUGUUGUCCGACUCUGUUGCCUCCGGGGCGACCCUGCCUUCGGGCGGGGGCUCCGGGUGGACACUUCAAACUCUUGCGUAACUUUGCAGUCUGAGUAAACUUAAUUAAUAAAUUAAAACUUUUAGCAACGGAUCUCUUGGUUCUGGCAUCGAUGAAGAACGCAGCGAAAUGCGAUAAGUAAUGUGAAUUGCAGAAUUCAGUGAAUCAUCGAAUCUUUGAACGCACAUUGCGCCCCCUGGUAUUCCGGGGGGCAUGCCUGUUCGAGCGUCAUUUCACCACUCAAGCCUCGCUUGGUAUUGGGCAACGCGGUCCGCCGCGUGCCUCAAAUCGACCGGCUGGGUCUUCUGUCCCCUAAGCGUUGUGGAAACUAUUCGCUAAAGGGUGUUCGGGAGGCUACGCCGUAAAACAACCCCAUUUCUAAGGUUGACCUCGGAUCAGGUAGGGAUACCCGCUGAACUUAAGCAUAUCAAUAAGCGGAGGAA
rnacentral:rRNA from 1 species